UGAAUUUAGCACAUUAUAAUACAACGUUGUAAUGAUGACAUGUAAGCCAAGCAUCGGAUUUCGUAUGACUUUUGGAAACUACCAUCUGCUUGUGCUACUCGAUAUACAGAUACAUAAAAGAUGAUUGUUGCAGAACAGUGUAGUGUGCAUUGUCGAACAAAUCAGUAUCAUUGCUCAAACUUGAUUUCCUUUCGAGAGUGCCCAUUCCCCAGAGCCUCCCCUCGUGGCGUGAAGUUGGAACCCCAAUUGAGUCAAUAAAAUCAACACAAAACUCGAUCACCUCCUCUGUUCCAUAUCCCUUGGCGAUGC
rnacentral:lncRNA from 1 species